rnacentral:misc_RNA from 1 species
ACCAUUAGUGUUGACAAAAACUAUAUAUUAUUUAACUAGCUUCAUGACUAGCUUCCAUCAUGCAGAGCUCAAAACUUGAAGGUCAAUUAUCCCACAUGCUGUCUUACAUCUAAUAAACCCAAACUGAAACUUAAAUUAAUGGAACAGAAGUUUCAUGCAAUGAACAAGUAUUAAAAGAGUAAGUGAUAGGCUCUUUCAUAAUUCAGGAGCAUUUCA